AACGGCGGCCGUAACUAUAACGGUCCUAAGGUAGCGAAAUUCCUUGUCAGGUAAGUUCUGACCCGCAUGAAAGGCGUAAUGAUUUGGGCACUGUCUCAACAGCCCGCCCGGCGAAAUUGUAGUACCGGUGAAGAUGCCGGUUACCCGCGACAAGACGGAAAGACCCCAUGGAGCUUUACUGUAGCCUAAUAUUGGGUUUCGAUGUUGCAUGCACAGGAUAGAUGGGACUCUUGGAAACCAAGGCUUUGGCUUUGGCGGAGAGGCCGUUGGGAUACCAUCCUUGCGAUAUUGGAAUUCUAACCUGCGGCUCUGAAUCGAGUCGGGGGACAUUGUUAGGUGGGCAGUUUGACUGGGGCGGUCGCCUCCUAAAGAGUAACGGAGGCGUUCAAAGGUUCGCUCAGCUUGAACGGAAAUCAAGCAAAAGAGUGCAAACGCAGAAGCGAGCCUAACUGCGAGACUGACGGGUCGAGCAGUAACGAAAGUUGGAGUUAGUGAUCCGGUGGUAUGUGAGUGGAAAUGCCAUCGCUCAACGGAUAAAAGUUACCCUGGGGAUAACAGGCUGAUCUCCCCCAAGAGUCCACAUCGACGGGGAGGUUUGGCACCUCGAUGUCGGCUCAUCGCAUCCUGGGGCUGUAUUCGGUCCCAAGGGUUUGGCUGUUCGCCAAUUAAAGCGGUACGCGAGCUGGGUUCAGAACGUCGUGAGACAGUUCGGUCCCUAUCUGUCGUGGGCGCAGGAUAUUUGAUGGGAGCUGUCCCUAGUACGAGAGGACCGGGACGGACGUACCUCUGGCGCACCAGUUGUUCCGCCAGGAGCAUAGCUGGGCAACUACGUACGGAUCGGAUAAACGCUGAAAGCAUCUAAGCGUGAAGCCGACCCAAAGAUAAGAUAUCCCACUGAUUGAAUCAGGUAAGAUCCCUUGUAGACUACGAGGUUGAUAGGCACGAUGUGUAAGUGGAGCGAUCCAUUCAGCAAGUGUGUACUAAUAGAUCGAGGGCUUGACCAC
rnacentral:rRNA from 1 species